UCUUUUCCCCUCUCCCUGCAG
rnacentral:miRNA from 1 species